rnacentral:pre_miRNA from 1 species
CAAAUACUUUCCCCGUCUGAAAAUAUUUGUCAUAGAAGUGGAUGAGACUAGAUGUAUUUUAAUUCUAGAUAUAUCCAUGUUUAUUCAUUUGUGUGCCAAGUAAUUUCGGACGGAGGGGGUAUGUA